CAGCAGCCACGGUAAUACGUAGGUGGCAAGCGUUGUCCGGAAUUAUUGGGCGUAAAGGGCUCGCAGGCGGUUUCUUAAGUCUGAUGUGAAAGCCCCCGGCUCAACCGGGGAGGGUCAUUGGAAACUGGGAAACUUGAGUGCAGAAGAGGGGAGUGGAAUUCCACGUGUAGCGGUGAAAUGCGUAGAGAUGUGGAGGAACACCAGUGGCGAAGGCGACUCUCUGGUCUGUAACUGACGCUGAGGAGCGAAAGCGUGGGGAGCGAACAGGAUUAGAUACCCCCGUAGUCCCUGUCUCUUAUAC
rnacentral:rRNA from 1 species